rnacentral:rRNA from 1 species
GAUCCUGGCUCAGGACGAACGCUGGCGGCGUGCCUAACACAUGCAAGUCGAGCGGGGGAAUAUUGAGCAGCUUGCUGCUUGAUAUUUUCUAGCGGCGGACGGGUGAGUAACGCGUGAGCAACCUGCUUUUAUCAGGGGGAUAACGCAUCGAAAGAUGUGCUAAUACCGCGUAAGACCACAGCUUCACAUGGAGCAGAGGUCAAAGGAGCAAUCCGGAUAAAGA